CGGCGUGUGGCUCAGCAGCAGGGCACCGGGCUUUCUCCCGGAGGGCGCGGGUGCGAGUCCCGCCACGCCGGCCC
rnacentral:tRNA from 1 species